rnacentral:rRNA from 1 species
GUACUUUGGGAUAACUUCAGGAAACUGGGGCUAAUACCGGAUAGGAGCUCCUGCUGCAUGGUGGGGGUUGGAAAGUUUCGGCGGUUGGGGAUGGACUCGCGGCUUAUCAGCUUGUUGGUGGGGUAGUGGCUUACCAAGGCUUUGACGGGUAGCCGGCCUGAGAGGGUGACCGGCCACAUUGGGACUGAGAUACGGCCCAG